GAUGAACGCUGGCGGCGUGCCUGAUACAUGCAAGUCGAGCGAACAGACGAGGAGCUUGCUCCUCUGACGUUAGCGGCGGACGGGUGAGUAACACGUGGAUAACCUACCUAUAAGACUGGGAUAACUUCGGGAAACCGGAGCUAAUACCGGAUAAUAUAUUGAACCGCAUGGUUCAAUAGUGAAAGACGGUUUUACUGUCACUUAUAGAUGGAUCCGCGCCGCAUUAGCUAGUUGGUAAGGUAACGGCUUACCAAGGCAACGAUGCGUAGCCGACCUGAGAGGGUGAUCGGCCACACUGGAACUGAGACACGGUCCAGACUCCUACGGGAGGCAGCAGUAGGGAAUCUUCCGCAAUGGGCGAAAGCCUGACGGAGCAACGCCGCGUGAGUGAUGAAGGUCUUCGGAUCGUAAAACUCUGUUAUUAGGGAAGAACAAAUGUGUAAGUAACUAUGCACGUCUUGACGGUACCUAAUCAGAAAGCCACGGCUAACUACGUG
rnacentral:rRNA from 1 species